UACGAAGGGGGCUAGCAUUGCUCGGAAUCACUGGGCGUAAAGCGCACGUAGGCGGGUCGUUAAGUCGGGGGUGAAAUCCUGGAGCUCAACUCCAGAACUGCCUUCGAUACUGGCGAUCUUGAGUCUGGGAGAGGUGAGUGGAACUCCGAGUGUAGAGGUGAAAUUCGUAGAUAUUCGCAAGAACACCAGUGGCGAAGGCGGCUCACUGGCCCGGUACUGACGCUGAGGUGCGAAAGCGUGGGGAGCAAACAGG
rnacentral:rRNA from 1 species